CAGGGCAAUUUUAAAUCACAACGCAGCCAACUCACCAUGGCGGAAUAGGUGUGGACUAACAUCUGGAGGGGGAAAAAAAGUCUGGAAACAGCUAAAAAUAAAAUAGCGAUAGAAUAACAGUAUCAACGGGAGGGGAAGUAUCAAGGAGAUCUGCAAGGGAACGCGGAGCACCCAGGAGAGCCGCUGGAGAUAUCUUCAUACUUGACAUUUUCGACCAGUUUCCAGAGCAUGAUGGCGGGCUGUUCUCUAGGAGCUGGGGAAGAUCUGUGACAUACCAGUGGGACAGAGUGGAUUAUUGCUGGCUGUUGUCUCUGUGAUGGAGAGUUCAAGACCCAGCAUCUUUAUGCAACCUGCUACUUUGG